CCUACGGGUGGCAGCAGUGAGGAAUCUUGGUCAAUGGGCGGAAGCCUGAACCAGCCAAGUAGCGUGCAGGAUGACGGCCCUACGGGUUGUAAACUGCUUUUAUACGGGAAUAACGCGCCUUACGUGUAGGGCUUUGCAUGUACCGUAUGAAUAAGGACCGGCUAAUUCCGUGCCCGCAGCCGCGGUAAUACGGAAGGUCCGGGCGUUAUCCGGAUUGAUUGGGUUUAAACGUAGCGUAGGCCGCAUGUCAAGCGUGCUUGGAAAUGGCCGGGCUCAACCCUGGCCUUGAAGCGCGAACUGGCGUGCUUGAGUCCGCGGAAGGCAGGCGGAAUUCGACGUGUAGCGGUGAAAUGCUUAGAUAUGACGAAGAACCCCGAUUGCGAAGGCAGCUUGCUGCAGCGGAACUGACGCUGAUGCUCGAAAGCGCGGGUAGCGAACAGGAUUAGAUACCCCAGUAGUC
rnacentral:rRNA from 1 species